CUUCCGGUUUUUAAACCAGUGAAAAAAUCGCUGCCUCCUGGCGUCAUUGGCAGCCGUCCAUGUUGAAUUGUUCAAGUAGGAAUGCAACGCUGCAUUGAAAGUCCAACUCGUUGUCACCAGCAUCUUCACUGAAAACGCUACACAUACCAUGUGUAUGAUUAGACGCCAUACCUCCGGUGUGCUUCCGGUUUUUAAACCAGUGAAAAAAUCGCAGCCUCCUGGCGUCAUUAGCAGCCGCCCACGUUGAAUUAUUCAAGUUGGAAUGCAGCGCUGCAAAUGUCACCAGCAUCUUCACUGAAAACGCUACACGUACCAUGUGCAUAAUUAGGCCGAUGGCGGAAAGUGGAAGCCGAUACCUGGCAUGAGACCUUACGUCUACUGCAUUAAAGAAAAUGAUGCCGGAAAGUUCCUUGGCCCCUGCGAUUGCGACAGCUUGAAGUUGUUCGAAGACACAGAUGAUAGCGGAUCCAGUCAAGUUCAGAGCCCUCCCCCUGCCGCCAGCCUCCGCCCCCUUAGCCGCAAACCCGCCCGCCCCUCCCCUCAGCUGUCCCGAGUGCCACAAUAGGCCCGAGCAUCUUUUGUGGCAUUAACGGUUUGGAGGAGAGCAAGAACAAUGUAUGAGAAGUGAGGAGCGCGGGGUUCCCACACGCGGGGUCGACGUGCACCCCCGCCGCCCCUCAAAGACGGCAACUUGCACACAGCUGAUUGCUCCCCAAAUCUCCCACCCGUGCCCCCCCCCCCACAACCCCCUCCUUCCAUACACAAACACACUUUCCCCUACACACAUGUAGCUAGCAUGAAUAUAUUUACAGUGUUCGUGUGACAUGCUAAUGUUAAUGCAGGAAGUUUAUUACAUGUGGUGCAAGGUGCUGAUAUCAACGCAGAUAAGUGUGCACACAUGCAGUCGUGCACGCUCCAUGUACAUACUUUAAUUGCCUGCCCAGACCGGGGGGUAAAAACCUUUUGUCGCGUGAAGGGAGCGGGAUUGUCUGGAAUCUUCAUUAAUUUGUACUGUCAUAUGUGGGAAGGUCCUUCACUACAGGGUGGGAAUGCACCCAACUUUCGUUUCCUCCCCUUUAAAUAGCGAAUUGGAGCGGGUGGGAAUGUCACUCUAGGUGAUCAACAUUUGUUGUCCUGUGUGAAUUUAAUUGGGCCUGAAUUAAAACCGAUGUAAUCGCUUGAAAUGUCCAUUUCAACACUGUAUAAAAAGUUGGGAUUUUACAAGAAAGAAGUCG